GGGUUAAUUUUGGUUUGUAUACCGCCGUUUAUUGAUUAUCUUUUUAGAGUAUCUUGAAUUUUCUGGUUUCUUUAAUUUGAUUUAUUGCAGGUCAAGGUGCAGCUUUUUCUAAGUGUAAUGAUGGAUUACAGUGGUAUGUGUUGUUUGGAUUGUUUGUUUAAAUAUGGGCAUGAAAUUGGAUUUGGUUGUAAUGUUUUGUAGAUUGUUUUCAUGAUAGUUGGUUCUAGGAUAUGUACACAU
rnacentral:rRNA from 1 species